rnacentral:rRNA from 1 species
UACGAAGGGGGCUAGCGUUGCUCGGAAUCACUGGGCGUAAAGCGCACGUAGGCGGAUUGCUAAGUCAGGGGUGAAAUCCUGGAGCUCAACUCCAGAACUGCCUUUGAUACUGGCGAUCUUGAGUCCGGGAGAGGUGAGUGGAACUGCGAGUGUAGAGGUGAAAUUCGUAGAUAUUCGGAAGAACACCAGUGGCGAAGGCGGCUCACUGGACUGGUAUUGACGCUGAGGUGCGAAAGCGUGGGGAGCAAACAGG